rnacentral:rRNA from 1 species
AGGAUGAUCCGCCACACUGGGACUGAGACACGGCCCAGACUCCUACGGGAGGCAGCAGUGGGGAAUAUUGGACAAUGGGGGGAACCCUGAUCCAGCCAUGCCGCGUGUGUGAAGAAGGCCUUUUGGUUGUAAAGCACUUUAAGCGAGGAGGAGGCUACCUAGAUUAAUACUUUAGGAUAGUGGACGUUACUCGCAGAAUAAGCACCGGCUAACUCUGUGCCAGCAGCCGCGGUAAUACAGAGGGUGCGAGCGUUAAUCGGAUUUACUGGGCGUAAAGCGUGCGUAGGCGGCCAAUUAAGUCAAAUGUGAAAUCCCCGAGCUUAACUUGGGAAUUGCAUUCGAUACUGGUUGGCUAGAGUAUGGGAGAGGAUGGUAGAAUUCCAGGUGUAGCGGUGAAAUGCGUAGAGAUCUGGAGGAAUACCGAUGGCGAAGGCAGCCAUCUGGCCUAAUACUGACGCUGAGGUACGAAAGCAUGGGGAGCAAACAGGAUUAGAUACCCUGGUAGUCCAUGCCGUAAACGAUGUCUACUAGCCGUUGGGGCCCUUGAGGCUUUAGUGGCGCAGCUAACGCGAUAAGUAGACCGCCUGGGGAGUACGGUCGCAAGACUAAAACUCAAAUGAAUUGACGGGGGCCCGCACAAGCGGUGGAGCAUGUGGUUUAAUUCGAUGCAACGCGAAGAACCUUACCUGGCCUUGACAUA